rnacentral:rRNA from 1 species
AGUGAACGCUGGCGGUAGGCCUAACACAUGCAAGUCGAACGGCAGCACAGUAAGAGCUUGCUCUUACGGGUGGCGAGUGGCGGACGGGUGAGGAAUACAUCGGAAUCUACUUUUUCGUGGGGGAUAACGUAGGGAAACUUACGCUAAUACCGCAUACGACCUACGGGUGAAAGCAGGGGAUCUUCGGACCUUGCGCGAUUGAAUGAGCCGAUGUCGGAUUGGCUAGUUGGCGGGGUAAAGGCCCACCAAGGCGACGAUCCGUAGCUGGUCUGAGAGGAUGAUCAGCCACACUGGAACUGAGACACGGCCCAGACUCCUACGGGAGGCAGCAGUGGGGAAUAUUGGACAAUGGGCGCAAGCCUGAUCCAGCCAUACCGCGUGGGUGAAGAAGGCCUUCGGGUUGUAAAGCCCUUUUGUUGGGAAAGAAAAGCAGCAGGUUAAUACCCCGCUGUUCUGACGGUACCCAAAGAAUAAGCACCGGCUAACUUCGUG